CUGUACAUAAAAUGUGCCCGUUCCCUCUUGCUUGGCAGAUGGAUGCACCCAACUGCACGUUUUACUUCUAAAUACGAGCCAAUGAAUCUGCCCCCAGUCUCUAGCUCAGCGUUGUCAAGCUCAGCCUGAAGCCCGACAUGUACACCAGAAUUCGUUCGCCACGUUUUACAACAAUGUAUAGAAGACAGGAAGAGAAAUAUUGACCUGAUUCAGCACAGAUCAAUCUUGGGCAGCUGUUGUUUUUUAUACAGCUUAGUGCCGAUAGGCAUACAAGGAGAUCGAUACAGAUUCGGAGCUGAUCAAGGAUAUUUUACGUGUGCUUGGGGGUGCAUCUGGUCUUAAGACGAAUAUUCAGAUGGGUAGUGCUAUACCAAUCCAAUGUUCGGUCGACGACUUGGCUGUCGUCCAGGACCAUUUGCCUUCUGAGAAUUGCUGAUCAACUCCGGGAUGGAAGGUUGAAGUCAUGACACGGGCUAGCUGAGCGGGUAAGGUCAUUUUCACAUCUUUGUUUGUGUAUUUGGCUAUGGCCAUGGAUCUUCCAAAUUGGGCUUUGAGGGCAAUUGAUAAAUCAGAAGGGGCUUCUUGUGGAGAGGAAGGAAGGAGGCAAGAGGUGGUCAUUGUUUGAUUGCAUGGCUGAUGGUUUGCCGUUCCAAGGAGCUCGAAAGGUCUGGGUAUUCUUGAUUUAAAACUUGUGGUUGGGCACGGAUGCGACGGCUAUGGAUGCAUAAAACCCAACCGGAUAAACCUUGGGACCAGAUACACUAUACUAGUUCAUCCUUGUAUCAAGGCUCUCUUCUCCACCGCUAUUAUCUCGGUGGUGGGUGAUGGUCGUAACACCCUUUUCUGCAUGGAUGGUUGGAGGGGCAGUCCAUUGUUGAUCUUGCUCUGCACCUUUUUGCCCUUAUCCCUAAAGCAUCGGGGCAUCGGGCUAAUAGCCGUACGGUUCAUGAUGCACUGGUGGGACGUUGUUGGGUGCAGGAUAUUCAAGGCGCUCUCUUGGUGGCUGCUUAUCCGAAUAUUUAAAUAUAUGGGAUCUUGUGUCCGAAGUGGAGAUCCAGAAUGACAUUCAAGAUAAGCAUUCUUGGAGAUUUGCUGGAGAUGGUUAGUAUUCGGUGAAAACGGCCUGCAAAGCGUAAGUGUUCUUUAUUGGUUUUAGUUGGUCUGGAACAUUUGGAGGUUGAUUUGGAAGCCACGUGCCCCUAAGAAAUGCCAUUUCUUCCUGUGGUUGGUUGCCCAUAAUAAGUGCUGGACGGCUGACUGCCUUUAACGGAGGGGUUCGCCACAUUUCAGAUUGUUGCUCAUUUUGUGAGCAGGAAGAGUAUAAGAUUCAUCACAUCCUUGUCUCUUCUGUGUUUGCAAGAGACUUGGUCCCUCCUGUUCAGACAUCUUGCCCAUAAUAAGUGCUGGACGGCUGAUCGCCUUUAACGGAGGGGUUCGCCACAUUUCAGAUUGUUGCUCAUUUUGUGAGCAGGAAGAGUAUAAGAUUCAUCACAUCCUUGUCUCUUGUGUGUUUGCAAGAGACUUGGUCCCUCCUGUUCAGACAUCUUGGCCUCCCCGACUUGGCGCCCCAAUCACCUUCUGCUCAUUUAUUUGAUUGGUGGUCCAGAACCAUCUCUACGGUGCCAGGUUCUAUGCAGGGUGGUUGGAAAUCCUUAAUCACUCUUUGUGCUUGGAUGAUUUAGAAGCAUCGAAAUGACUGUGUCUUCAGCGGGAGUUCCCAAUGUCCAAAGGGUGCUACUGGCCAUUAAAGAUGAAGCACAACUUUGGUCCUUAGACUGAUCAUGGGAGAGUCCUGGUCGUGGUCAUGGUUUGAGUGUAGGUCGUCUUUUUCUUGCUUCUGACCCGUCCGUUUUAGCUGUUUAGUGGGGCUUGUAUGUACAUUUAUUCUUAAUGCAAUGAUACACAACUCUCCUCUGUAUUCGAGAAAAAAAAAGUAAAUCUUAAUGUAGUUGAGAUGAUUCGAUUGGAAAUGGAGUUUGAUCAGUGGGUUUUGAGUGUUGUUUUAGUUCAGUUUUCUCCUGAAGAUAUCUGAUAACACUUCACACUAGCACAGGUGAGAUCCAGGUGAUCGCUAGUUAUGGGAGUGCGCUCAAAGGAUAUAAACAGGGUUUCACAAACAAAAAGGGGAAUAAGUUGUCACUCUCCCCGUCAUGUAAAAGAACACCAUGAAACAAUGACAAGGAACUAAACAUAUUGCGUAGCCACAGUCCACGAUUUAUCUAAUGCGAAGUCUUUGUAUGCUUUUCUACAAUUUUUAUGCAAAUUCACAAAGCACCAGUGGUUACUUAAC